UGUGGUACCGUUUCGGUUUAAAAGGGAAAGCGGUGAGAAUCCGCUACAGCCCCCGCUACUGUGAGUGAGGACGAAACCCACUGCCGCUACUUGGCAGUAAAAGCCACUGGAUUCGUUCCGGGAAGGUGUGGGAAGUAGAAGGAAUCACGAGUCAGGAGACCUGCCACAGUUAA
rnacentral:ncRNA from 1 species